AUUGAACGCUGGCGGCAUGCCUUACACAUGCAAGUCGAACGGCAGCACGGGAGCAAUCCUGGUGGCGAGUGGCGAACGGGUGAGUAAUGUAUCGGAACGUACCUUUCAGUGGGGAUAACGUAUCGAAAGUUACGCUAAUACCGCAUAUUCUGUGAGCAGGAAAGCAGGGGAUCGCAAGACCUUGCGCUGAUUGAGCGGCCGAUAUCAGAUUAGCUAGUUGGUGAGGUAAAGGCUCACCAAGGCGACGAUCUGUAGCGGGUCUGAGAGGAUGAUCCGCCACACUGGAACUGAGACACGGUCCAGACUCCUACGGGAGGCAGCAGUGGGGAAUUUUGGACAAUGGGCGCAAGCCUGAUCCAGCCAUGCCGCGUGAGUGAAGAAGGCCUUCGGGUUGUAAAGCUCUUUCAGCCGGGAAGAAAACGCAUGGGUUAAUACCCUGUGUGGAUGACGGUACCGGAAUAAGAAGCACCGGCUAACUACGUG
rnacentral:rRNA from 1 species